rnacentral:lncRNA from 1 species
UCUCAAGCCUACCCUUAACAACAAUAACAAGAAACUCCCAGCUCCUACGUCGCCUCCAAAACCAGCAAAACAAGUUAACAAGCAACAGCCACGUAAGUGCUUAACUUUCCAUACCCUAGAAGAGUUGGACGCUAAGCUGUCUUCAAAACCUGCUGCAAACGAGUUAAGAAAAACGGAGUCAAUGGGAAAGGAGACGGGAACCAAAACCAAAACCAAAACCACCGAGUUAAACAACCCGGAGCCUUCAAAACCUGCUGCAAACGAGUUAAGAAAAACGGAGUCAAUGAGAAAGGAGACGGGAACCAAAACCAAAACCACCGAGUUAAACAACCCGGAGCCGCCAGUUCCAGACUCAACAGGGUUCAAGUCAGUAAAAGAGAACAUAUUCAUAUUAAGGGACAGACAAGAGAGGGAAAAAGAGGGAAGGAUGGGGAAUUACGAUAAAUUAAUGAGCAAACGAGACCCGUUGAGCCAGUUCCCAGAGAUGUGCCCACCAGGCGGUGCCGACUCGGUGGUCAUCUACACGACGUCGUUGAGAGGGGUUCGGCGUACGUUCGAGGAUUGCACCAAGGUCCGAGAGAUAUUCGAAAU